GCCAACAAUAGUGACUAUAUGUUGUCUUGUGCUGGUCAAUUUCUUUUCUGAGGCUUAUGGUUGCAGAUGUGCUCAUGGGACAAAUAAACAGAAGUACUGUAGAUCUACUAUAGUAUCACGCGGUUUAAUUACAAGCAAGAAGAAAGUGGGAAGAGAUCAAUUUGAAUACGCAUGGACACUGAAUUAUAAUUUUAAGUUUAACGUGGAGGAAGAAAUUAAAGUUCGUGCUAAGAAUAGUCCAUCGAAUUGCGGAGUGGAUUUACAAGUAGGAGUUGAAUAUUUGAUUUCAGGAAAUUUAAAGACGAGAUAUGGAACAACUUAUAUAGAGACAGAUAGUUGUUUUUGGAUUGAUAAAUGGCAUAACAUUCCACUCGCUACAGAAAUAGAAAUGAC